UACGUAGGUGGCGAGCGUUGUCCGGAUUUACUGGGCGUAAAGGGAGCGUAGGCGGACUUUUAAGUGAGAUGUGAAAUACUCGGGCUCAACUUGAGUGCUGCAUUUCAAACUGGAAGUCUAGAGUGCAGGAGAGGAGAAUGGAAUUCCUAGUGUAGCGGUGAAAUGCGUAGAGAUUAGGAAGGACACCAGUGGCGAAGGCGAUUCUCUGGACUGUAACUGACGCUGAGGCUCGAAAGCGUGGGGAGCAAACAGG
rnacentral:rRNA from 1 species